rnacentral:rRNA from 1 species
CAGCCGCCGGCGGUAAUACAGAGGGUGCGAGCGUUAAUCGGAUUUACUGGGCGUAAAGCGUGCGUAGGCGGCUUUUUAAGUCGGAUGUGAAAUCCCUGAGCUUAACUUAGGAAUUGCAUUCGAUACUGGGAAGCUAGAGUAUGGGAGAGGAUGGUAGAAUUCCAGGUGUAGCGGUGAAAUGCGUAGAGAUCUGGAGGAAUACCGAUGGCGAAGGCAGCCAUCUGGCCUAAUACUGACGCUGAGGUACGAAAGCAUGGGGAGCAAACAGGAUUAGAUACCCGAGUAGUCCCUGUCUCUUAUA